rnacentral:rRNA from 1 species
UACGUAGGUGGCAAGCGUUGUCCGGAAUUAUUGGGCGUAAAGAGCUCGUAGGCGGUUUGUCGCGUCUGCUGUGAAAACUGGGGGCUCAACCCCCAGCCUGCAGUGGGUACGGGCAGACUAGAGUGCGGUAGGGGAGAGUGGAAUUCCUGGUGUAGCGGUGGAAUGCGCAGAUAUCAGGAAGAACACCCGUGGCGAAGGCGGCUCUCUGGAACGCAACUGACGCUGAGACGCGAAAGCGUGGGGAGCAAACAGG